CUCACGCGGCGCUAUCUGACUGAACUCCCCCAGGGCCGGAAGGCAGCAAGGGUAGGUCGGCUCUGGCGGGUGCGUGAG
rnacentral:SRP_RNA from 1 species